rnacentral:rRNA from 1 species
AAUCUGCCUUUAGGUCGGGGACAACAGUUGGAAACGACUGCUAAUACCGGAUGUGCAGCAAUGUGAAAGAUUUAUUGCCUAAAGAUGAGCUCGCGUCUGAUUAGCUAGUAGGUGUGGUAAUGGCGCACCUAGGCGACGAUCAGUAACUGGUCUGAGAGGAUGACCAGUCACACUGGGACUGAGACACGGCCCAGACUCCUACGGGAGGCAGCAGUGGGGAAUUUUCCGCAAUGGGCGAAAGCCUGACGGAGCAAUACCGCGUGAGG